rnacentral:rRNA from 1 species
UGGGGAAUUUUGGACAAUGGGGGAAACCCUGAUCCAGCCAUCCCGCGUGUGCGAUGAAGGCCUUCGGGUUGUAAAGCACUUUUGGCAGGAAAGAAACGUCGCGGGUUAAUACCCCGCGAAACUGACGGUACCUGCAGAAUAAGCACCGGCUAACUACGUGCCAGCAGCCGCGGUAAUACGUAGGGUGCAAGCGUUAAUCGGAAUUACUGGGCGUAAAGCGUGCGCAGGCGGUUCGGAAAGAAAGAUGUGAAAUCCCAGAGCUUAACUUUGGAACUGCAUUUUUAACUACCGGGCUAGAGUGUGUCAGAGGGAGGUGGAAUUCCGCGUGUAGCAGUGAAAUGCGUAGAUAUGCGGAGGAACACCGAUGGCGAAGGCAGCCUCCUGGGAUAACACUGACGCUCAUGCACGAAAGCGUGGGGAGCAAACAGGAUUAGAUACCCUGGUAGUCCACGCCCUAAACGAUGUCAACUAGCUGUUGGGGGCCUUCGGGCCUUGGUAGCGCAGCUAACGCGUGAAGUUGACCGCCUGGGGAGUACGGUCGCAAGAUUAAAACUCAAAUGAAUUGACGGGGGUCAUAGCUG